rnacentral:rRNA from 1 species
UGGGGAAUAUUGGACAAUGGGGGCAACCCUGAUCCAGCAAUGCCGCGUGUGUGAAGAAGGCCUGAGGGUUGUAAAGCACUUUUAGUGGGGAGGAAGGCGUAUGUGUUAAUAGUACAUACGAGUGACGUUACCCAAAGAAUAAGCACCGGCUAACUCUGUGCCAGCAGCCGCGGUAAUACAGAGGGUGCGAGCGUUAAUCGGAAUUACUGGGCGUAAAGGGUGCGUAGGUGGUUAUUUAAGUCAGAUGUGAAAGCCCUGGGCUCAACCUAGGAAUUGCAUAUGAUACUGAGUAGCUAGAGUAUGGUAGAGGGAAGUGGAAUUUCCGGUGUAGCGGUGAAAUGCGUAGAUAUCGGAAGGAACAUCAGUGGCGAAGGCGGCUUCCUGGACUAAUACUGACACUGAGGCACGAAAGCAUGGGGAGCGAACAG